rnacentral:lncRNA from 1 species
GUAGUACUGCUGUGUGUGAACAUAUGUACGUCUAUACAUAAGUAUUAUGUACCCUUGCUAAAAUUUUAGUAACCUAUUACUUUAAAGCAAAAUGAAUUAGACUUCAAAUGCAUGAAAAUAGACUCCUCUGAAAAGUUUGCAUCUUAAAUAAAUGAAAAUUAAAUAACAAACAAUAAUAAUUCUGAAUUAAAUAAACAUUCCAGGAUUGCCUCUGUGUUGUCGUUUUGUUUUGUUUUUUUAAUUUAGGAGAAAGCGUUCUCUCUCUCUCUCUCUCUCUCUCUCUCUCUCUCUCUCUCUCUCUCUCUCUCUCUCUCUCUCUCUUUUUCUCUCUCUCAUUUAAAUAAGGAAGGAAAUACCGUCUCAUUAAACAAUUUGGCUGCUAAAUAUUUGUCUGCACCUGACCAGCAUGAAAUAGAACAGACUCCAAACGGGAUGGACAUCAGGUUUCUGAACCCACUCCCCCACCUUCCCGGUACCGCCUGCCAUCUUCUCUGCCAGCUUUGCGGUAGGGCCUCGGGGCCAAUCUUCUGCUGGCUCGCUUUCACUCGGACCUGGCGUUUCUCUAGGACUGACUGGGCUUCUUCGCCCCGCCACAGCACAGGCUGCGGAGCGUGGCUGAGCAGCCACCAGCAUUGGCUCUCUUCCCAGUUCCUGCGGUAGCUCCCAGAGCUGAGCCAGCCCAGCAGCGAAAGCCUAAACGCGCGCGAAGCAGGAAAUCCUCGCGGCAACCCGGGAGACCUUUCCUGCAGCUCGCCUUCGUUUUCUUUCAGAGAGUGGGGUCUCCUCUCUGGAAUCUGAUCUUAGCUCGGGCCAUCUCCGGACUGCAAUGCCCUCCCCUUACUGACAUGGGCUCAUCCAGAGGCGGGGGAUGUGGAGGCCCCAGUUGGGGACUGAAGGCUGGGAAGCUGAUAAACACACCGCAUUGACAGCAUUCACGCGGACACAGCAGUUCAAUAGGACUGCACGGUCACAUAUCCUACCACAUGCACACAAAAAGGACAGAAAGAAAGAAAGAAAGAAAGGAAGAAAGAAAGAAAGAAAGAAAGAAAGAAAGAAAGAAAGAAAGAAAGAAAGAAAGAAAGAAAGAAAGAAAAGAAGAGAAAGGAAAGAAAGGAGGAAAAGAAAAGAAAAAGAAAAAACUACCGGACCUGCUGGGAUACUGAGGCUUUAGUCCCUGCAUUGACGCGCAGCGGACUCCGGGCCGGAGUUGUCUCCAGCAAAAACCCUGCUGAAACUUCAGCCACCUCUACCUCCCACUCUUACGGGCAGUGAGCUACUGAAGAAUAUAAAGGGGAAAUGGGAAUUACUAGGUAAAUGGAGAGGGAUCAUCUCGGGAUUUCCCACCUCGAAGUUUAAUGGGAGAAGAUACGUCUUCCAGAACGUGGUUAGUAAUUAACACUCUUCCACUUCCAAGGUUCUCGUUCUCUCUCUCUCUCUCUCUCUCUCUCUCUCUCUCUCUCUCUCUCUCCUCUCUCUCUCUCUCUCUCUCUCUCUCUCUCUCUUCCUUCCACUUUCUUCCUUCUUUCUUUUCUAAGAAAAAAAGUGUAUUCAGCUUAAAGAAAAACGAUGCAUCGCUAUUUCAAUCCUAACGAUUGACUGGAAGUCUGCGGGCAACCAAUUAUUGUGAUUAUCUAAAUCGAUGUCUGCGCAUCCGCGCACCAGGCUCUACAGGUAGUGAUGGUGUAGUGCAUGAAAAAAUUAGGUUCGACUUCUGAGCAAUAUAAAUGUUCCUGGCUAACAGCUCAGAGUAAAGGUUGUGUACAGACACGUAAAAAGAGGAAUACUGAAAGGGCUGUGGACUGGGCUGUAAGCCAGUGGGAAAAGGAAAAAAGGGAAGGUUCCCAGGAAAACACGUUCCACCUUAAAAGAGUCUUCCCCUUUAAGAGGAGGUUGAGUAGAAAAUGGCUGCAUAUGCGCCUUUCACCUGUAGGGGGAGGUGCUGUCCCGUGAUUCCGACUCAGCCCGCUAAGCUUGCGUGUUAAUUGCUAAGCACGCUUCUGGAGCCGAGCUCUGUCUCCAGCAAUCUCCCCAGAGGGGGGCGGGGAAGAAGGGGGAGGGAAGAGGCCAUGCAGCACUUAAAUAAGAAAUCCAAGUCUUCCCUUGUUUUGUAGCUGCACGGUGCCUCAGUGAGGAGUUUGGGGGAGGGGAUUCAAAUCAUUUUGCUGAGGGAG